CACAAAACUCGGCUCCUUCAAGUAAACACACGCGCUCACGCACACAUAUGCAUCAAACUACGCUCAUUUUCGUCAGUAUCUCACGGGGCCUCGUACAGUAACUUUGCCUAUAAAAUGCCGUUCUUUUGUAAUUAAAUGGUGCAAAAACAAUACCAAAGUGAACAAAAAGUCUGAAGAAAUAUCGUUUCACACGACCUACCGGAUGAGUCUAAAAUCAGUCGUUAACCAAGAUUCAAUCUUUGAUACACCUAGAAAAAAUAAACUAAGAGAAAAGUUAAAAAAACAGGAACUUUAUUUAAAAAAAAAAUGUUAAAAAAAAUUAAAUCAUUACAGCAAAGAGUUAGAUGUCUUUGAAACAGGAACUUGCCCUUCAGAGGAAUCAUCAAUUACUUAAAAACGCAAUUUUCAUUGAUUAGACACAGAUUUAUACAAUUCAUUAAAUCAAAACUUGGCUGCAAUAGAUUUAUUUAACAAUUUGAAGCAAAAAAAAGGAGUAAAUAUAUUUAAAACGAUAA
rnacentral:misc_RNA from 1 species